rnacentral:rRNA from 1 species
GAUGAACGCUAGCGGCAGGCCUAACACAUGCAAGUCGAACGGUAACAGGUGUAGCAAUACAUGCUGACGAGUGGCGCACGGGUGCGUAACACGUAUGUAACUUACCUCUAACUGGGGAAUAGCUUCGAGAAAUCGAAAUUAAUGUCCCAUAAUAAUUUGAUCAGGCAUCUGGUUAAAUUUAAAGCUCCGGCGGUUAGAGAUAGACAUGCGUCCUAUUAGCUUGUUGGUGAGGUAACGGCUCACCAAGGCUACGAUAGGUAGGGGGCCUGAGAGGGUUAUCCCCCACACUGGAACUGAGACACGGUCCAGACUCCUACGGGAGGCAGCAGUGAGGAAUAUUGGUCAAUGGUCGCAAGACUGAACCAGCCAUGCCGCGUGCAGGAUGAAGGCCCUCUGGGUUGUAAACUGCUUUUAUCUGGGAAUAAACCCCUCUACGUGUAGAGGGCUGGCGGUACCCGGAGAAUAAGCCCCGGCUAACUUCGUGCCAGCCGCCGCCGUAAAAC